rnacentral:rRNA from 1 species
AGAGUUUGAUCCUGGCUCAGAAUGAACGCUGGCGGCGUGCCUAACACAUGCAAGUCGAGCGGUAAGGCCCCUUCGGGGGUACACGAGCGGCGAACGGGUGAGUAACGCGUGGGUAAUCUACCUAGAAGUGGGGGAUAGCUUCGGGAAACCGGAGGUAAUACCGCAUGUGCCCCGAGUAACGCGAGUUAUUCGGGUGAAAGAUGGGGAUCUUCGGACCUGUCGCUUCUGGAUGAGCCCGCGUCCGAUUAGCUAGUUGGUGAGGUAAUGGCUCACCAAGGCUUCGAUCGGUAGCCGGCCUGAGAGGGUGAUCGGCCACAUUGGGACUGAGACACGGCCCAGACUCCUACGGGAGGCAGCAGUGGGGAAUUUUGGGCAAUGGGGGAAACCCUGACCCAGCGACGCCGCGUGGAGGAUGAAGGUCUUCGGAUUGUAAACUCCUGUCAGGUGGGAAGAAGGUCGUCGGGUUAAUAACCCGUGCGAUUUGGCG